rnacentral:lncRNA from 1 species
ACUCAAAUAGUCUCAGAGUAGUACUCUUGUCCUAAAGUCUUAUUACAUCACAACCGAAGUUGCAUAAAUAAAGGUCGUAUCAUAUUUCAAAAUUUCAAUGCACUUCCAUCAGUACAUGCACUAGUAAUUGGAGACCCAGCCGCAUGUCCACAUGAGCACACUUGGCUCCAAAUUAGUCUUCAGUAAUGAUGGACUCAUUUUCAUCCUGACAUAAAAAGCAAAGCAAAUCAAAAUAAACAAGUUACUUCUGAAUGCACAUCCAUGAAGGAUAAAAAUCUGACAUCUAAUCAAGUCUGACCAUCAACCACACAUUCACAAGUAUAUAUCUUAAACAAGCAGUGCACUGUGCACACAUCACUUGUUAUUUAAACAUAUAAAACAUCCCCAACAUAAUAAAUUGAGAUGUGAACAAGGAGUUACCAUCACUUCUUCUUCAUCCUCAAGAACAGAUUGAACU